rnacentral:rRNA from 1 species
AUUGAACGCUGGCGGCAGGCCUAACACAUGCAAGUCGAGCGGAUGAAGGGAGCUUGCUCCUGGAUUCAGCGGCGGACGGGUGAGUAAUGCCUAGGAAUCUGCCUGGUAGUGGGGGAUAACGUCCGGAAACGGGCGCUAAUACCGCAUACGUCCUGAGGGAGAAAGUUGGGGAUCUUCGGACCUCACGCUAUCAGAUGAGCCUAGGUCGGAUUAGCUAGUUGGUGGGGUAAAGGCCUACCAAGGCGACGAUCCGUAACUGGUCUGAGAGGAUGAUCAGUCACAUUGGAACUGAGACACGGUCCAGACUCCUACGGGAGGCAGCAGUGGGGAAUAUUGGACAAUGGGCGAAAGCCUGAUCCAGCCAUGCCGCGUGUGUGAAGAAGGUCUUCGGAUUGUAAAGCACUUUAAGUUGGGAGGAAGGGCAGUAAGUUAAUACCUUGCUGUUUUGACGUUACCAACAGAAUAAGCACCGGCUAACUUCGUG